rnacentral:rRNA from 1 species
AGUCGAACGCUUUUUCUUUCACCGGAGCUUGCUCCACCGAAAGAAAAAGAGUGGCGAACGGGUGAGUAACACGUGGGUAACCUGCCCAUCAGAAGGGGAUAACACUUGGAAACAGGUGCUAAUACCGUAUAACACUAUUUUCCGCAUGGAAGAAAGUUGAAAGGCGCUUUUGCGUCACUGAUGGAUGGACCCGCGGUGCAUUAGCUAGUUGGUGAGGUAACGGCUCACCAAGGCAACGAUGCAUAGCCGACCUGAGAGGGUGAUCGGCCACGCUGGGACUGAGACACGGCCCAGACUCCUACGGGAGGCAGCAGUAGGGAAUCUUCGGCAAUGGACGAAAGUCUGACCGAGCAACGCCGCGUGAGUGAAGAAGGUUUUCGGAUCGUAAAACUCUGUUGUUAGAGAAGAACAAGGAUGAGAGUAAAAUGUUCAUCCCUUGACGGUAUCUAACCAGAAAGCCACGGCUAACUACGUGCCAGCAGCCGCGGUAAUACGUAGGUGGCAAGCGUUGUCCGGAUUUAUUGGGCGUAAAGCGAGCGCAGGCGGUUUCUUAAGUCUGAUGUGAAAGCCCCCGGCUCAACCGGGGAGGGUCAUUGGAAACUGGGAGACUUGAGUGCAGAAGAGGAGAGUGGAAUUCCAUGUGUAGCGGUGAAAUGCGUAGAUAUAUGGAGGAACACCAGUGGCGAAGGCGGCUCUCUGGUCUGUAACUGACGCUGAGGCUCGAAAGCGUGGGGAGCGAACAGGAUUAGAUACCC